AUUGAACGCUGGCGGCAGGCCUAACACAUGCAAGUCGAGCGAGCGGCGGACGGGUGAGUAAUGUAUGGGGACUGCCCGAUAGAGGGGGAUACCUACUGGAAACGGUGGCUAAUACCGCAUACUAUCGGAUAACCCAUAUGGGAUUAGCUAGUAGGUGGGGUAAAGGCUAACCUAGGCGACGAUCUCUAGCUGGUCUGAGAGGAUGAUCAGCCACACUGGAACUGAGACACGGCCCAGACUCCUACGGAGGCAGCAGUGGGGAAUAUUGCGCAAUGGGCGCAAGCCUGAUGGAGCCACGCCGCGUGUGUGAUGAAGGCCUUAGGGUUGUAAAGUACUGUCAGCGGGGAGGCGUUACCCGCAGAAGAAGCACCGGCUAACUCCGUGCCAGCAGCCGCGGUAAUAC
rnacentral:rRNA from 1 species